ACGAACGCUGGCGGCGUGCUUAACACAUGCAAGUCGAACGGAAAGGCCCUGCUUGCCGGGUACUCGAGUGGCGAACGGGUGAGUAACACGUGGGUGAUCUGCCCUGCACUUCGGGAUAAGCCUGGGAAACUGGGUCUAAUACCGGAUAGGAGCCAUUUUUAGUGUGAUGGUUGGAAAGUUUUUUCGGUGUAGGAUGAGCUCGCGGCCUAUCAGCUUGUUGGUGGGGUAAUGGCCUACCAAGGCGGCGACGGGUAGCCGGCCUGGGAGGGUGGACGGCCACAUUGGGACUGAGAUACGGCCCAGACUCCUACGGGAGGCAGCAGUGGGGAAUAUUGCACAAUGGGCGCAAGCCUGAUGCAGCGACGCCGCGUGGGGGAUGACGGCCUUCGGGUUGUAAACUCCUUUCGCUAGGGACGAAGCUUUUUGUGACGGUACCUAGAUAAGAAGCACCGGCUAACUACGUG
rnacentral:rRNA from 1 species